rnacentral:rRNA from 1 species
AGAGUUUGAUCCUGGCUCAGGACGAACGCUGGCGGCGUGCUUAACACAUGCAAGUCGAACGGAAAGGCCCUUCGGGGUACUCGAGUGGCGAACGGGUGAGUAACACGUGGGUGAUCUGCCCUGCACUUUGGGAUAAGCCUGGGAAACUGGGUCUAAUACCGAAUACACCCUUCUGGCUGCAUGGUCUGGGAGGGGAAAGCUUUUGCGGUGUGGGAUGGGCCCGCGGCCUAUCAGCUUGUUGGUGAGGUUACGGCUCACCAAGGCGACGACGGGUAGCCGGCCUGAGAGGGUGACCGGCCACACUGGGACUGAGAUACGGCCCAGACUCCUACGGGAGGCAGCAGUGGGGAAUAUUGCACAAUGGGCGCAAGCCUGAUGCAGCGACGCCGCGUGAGGGAUGACGGCCUUCGGGUUGUAAACCUCUUUCGCCAGGGACGAAGCGCAAGUGACGGUACCUGGAGAAGAAGGACCGGCCAACUACGUGCCAGCAGCCGCGGUAAUACGUAGGGUCCGAGCGUUGUCCGGAAUUACUGGGGCGUAAAGAGCUCGUAGGUGGUUUGUCGCGUUGUUCGUGAAAACUCACAGCUCAACUGUGGGCGUGCGGGCGAUACGGCAGACUGGAGUACUGCAGGGGAGACUGGAUUCUGGUGUAGCGUGAUGCGCAGAUAUCAGGAGAACACCGUGCGAAGCGGGUCUCUGGGCAGUAACUGACGCUGAGGAGCGAAAGCGUGGGGAGCGAACAGGAUUAGAUACCCUGGUAGUCCACGCCGUAAACGGUGGGUACUAGGUGUGGGUUUCCUUCCUUGGGAUCCGUGCCGUAGCUAACGCAUUAAGUACCCCGCCUGGGGAGUACGGCCGCAAGGCUAAAACUCAAAGAAAUUGACGGGGGCCCGCACAAGCGGCGGAGCAUGUGGAUUAAUUCGAUGCAACGCGAAGAACCUUACCUGGGUUUGACAUGCACAGGACGUGCCUAGAGAUAGGUAUUCCCUUGUGGCCUGUGUGCAGGUGGUGCAUGGCUGUCGUCAGCUCGUGUCGUGAGAUGUUGGGUUAAGUCCCGCAACGAGCGCAACCCUUAUCUUAUGUUGCCAGCGCGUAAUGGCGGGGACUCGUGAGAGACUGCCGGGGUCAACUCGGAGGAAGGUGGGGAUGACGUCAAGUCAUCAUGCCCCUUAUGUCCAGGGCUUCACACAUGCUACAAUGGCCGGUACAAAGGGCUGCGAUGCCGUGAGGUGGAGCGAAUCCUUUCAAAGCCGGUCUCAGUUCGGAUCGGGGUCUGCAACUCGACCCCGUGAAGUCGGAGUCGCUAGUAAUCGCAGAUCAGCAACGCUGCGGUGAAUACGUUCCCGGGCCUUGUACACACCGCCCGU